AAAAUUUUAAUUUAAUUAAAAUAUAAUAUUUACACUAUUAUUAUAUAUAUAUAUUAUAUAAAUUUUA
rnacentral:tRNA from 1 species